rnacentral:misc_RNA from 1 species
AGCGCACGCGCGCGUGCUCGGACGCGUGCAGAUUGUUAGUGCACGCGCGCUGUAGCGAGCGCGACGCGCGCCGCGUGCUCGUCGCCACCGCCGCGCCGCGCGCCGCACGCGCUCUCCGCCUGGCCUUGGACUACGCAUUUACUGACACCAUGCACGACCACAAGUAUAAAAGAGCAACAGAAGCGUUUGUGCAGUUUAAGGAAGCCUUAGUCCAGUUAGUC